rnacentral:lncRNA from 1 species
AUUCUUUGGCAAGCCGCCGCGGCCACGCUGCGGUUUACUAACCGAGCGUAUAUGUAUGGAUUUACCGGCAUAAUCCAAUAAUAUCGUAGGUUGCAGACACAAGAUCGCGCUGCGUAACGAGUCUGGAAAUUCUCGUGGUGCUCCGUAUGAAAGCUCAGCGACUGUGGCCGUAAUCUGCAACAUCGCAGAAUGCACAACUACAGUGGAAUAGCCUACAAUUAUAGAAAAUCAAGAAUAACUACAGCUGUUUUAGCCGUAGGAUUUAUCAACACAGCCUUCACCAAAUUAUAUCUGAUUUGUGCAGAUUCGCAGAACAUUUUACAGUCUAAAAAUCUACUACCUUAAAGCCGCGAUAAAUCAACACAAUUUAAACAUAAAAAAUGAAUGUCUCGUCAUAUACGAGGAUUGAAGAUAACGAAAUACAGAAGGCAACGGUUGAAAGUAUAAAUAACGAAUCUCUUCCAGUCUAUCGAUCAGAUUGUUGGCAAGUCCCCAAAGGAAUGAUAAUACAGGUCGACAGAGGAAGAGCAGGCCAGGCAGAACUUGACAUUCAGCCUGUUCAGACUUGAUCUGAUUUAGAAUGCAGCUUGCAAGUCUUGCAACUGCGAGCACAACUAUCAAGAUCUGGAUCAUGUAUUAUGACAAUAUCCCUAACACUCAAAUUACUAUACUCCAUCAGUAAGCUGCUAAACAGUUCAAGAAUUAAAGAACUGAAGAUCAUUGACAACUUAAUAAACAAGCCAUAUCUUAAGGAACAACAUAAAGGAACAGAGGUUGUAUAUAAGCAUAUAUAAAAAUGUACAUAUAAUUAUACCUAGAAUAAGAACUAAUGUUUAAGCAAUGUAACAAUGUGCAAUCUCUAAAUAAAAAUAGCGCAUAGAUAGUAUACAGAUUUCAAAGGCUUAAAAAAAAAUUCUAAGGAAGUAGAAAAGGAAAAACGAAGAAAAUGUUUCACAUAUUUGUAAUAUGUUAGAAAUCUCUUUUUGUUUAACAGUUUUUGUUUACAAUAUGGUACAACUCUGAAUCUAAAUUAGUGAACCUUCAUCAAUGUUAUAUUGCUAUUUACACGAAUAGAUAGACAAAAUAUGUUAAAUUG